GCUUCAACUGUGCCGCGCACCUGGUCCACGUGGCAUGCGGCCUGCUCCGUGUCUGGUCCUGGUGUCCAGGCGGCGGCAUCUGAGGUGGACCGUGCCCCCCCUGGAGGUAGUGGGGGGGGCGGAGGCACGGCAAUCGACCCGGGUGUCGUGUGGGAUGCCGCCGGGGGUCCUCCCCUCUCGGCCGGCAGUGGUAAGUGGGACACGCGGGGUGGCUCUCGGCCACUGCCGCCGGGUGGG